GGGCUUGACAUCCCACGAACCUGACCGAACGGUGUGAGUGUCCGCAAGGGAGCACGGGGACAGGUGGUGCAUGGCUGUCGUCAGCUCCUGUCGUGAGAUGUUGGGUUGAGUCCCGCAACGAGCGCAGCCAUCACCCCUUGUUGCCUUCAGGUCAUGCUGGGCACCCUAGGGGAACUGCCCCGGUCAACGCGGAUUAAGGCGGGCAUGACGUCAAGACAUCAUUCCCCUUACGUCCUGGGCUACACACGUGCUAGAUUGGCUUGUACAAAGGGAUGCAAGACCGCCAGGUGGAGCCAAACCCAACGAGCCUGUCUAAGUUCAGAUUGGAGUCUGCAACUCGACUUCAUGAAGGAGGAAUCUCUCGUAAUCGCGCAUCAGCACGGUGCAGUGAGUACGUUCCCGGGCCUUGUACAAACCGCCCGUCACACCACGAAAGCCAGCUGUACUCGAAGUCGCUGAG
rnacentral:rRNA from 1 species